AACGAACGCUGGCGGCAUGCCUAACACAUGCAAGUCGAGCGAUGCCGUCGGGUCCUGGGGCGAACGGGUACGUAACGCAACGGGAGCGUCCCGCAGGGGCGGAAUAACUUCCCGCAAGGGGCGCCAAUAGCGGACGAAUGCUACUACCGCAUGAUAUAUCGACUCAGGAGGGGCCCGCGUGCAAUUAGCUAGUUGGUCGCGUAAAAGCCUACCAAGGUGGCGUUCCAUAGCUGGUGUGAGAGGAUGAUCCGCACCACUGGGACUGACACACGGCCCAGACGCCUGGGGGAGGCAGCAAUGGGGAAUAUUGGACACUGGGCGAGAGAAUGAGGCAGCCGUGCCGUGUGAGUGAUGAAGGAGUUAGGAUUGUAAAGCUCUUUUGACCGGGAUGAUAAUGACAGUACCGAGCGAAUAAGCGCCGGCUAACUCCGUG
rnacentral:rRNA from 1 species